UGCCCACUGAUAUACAUAUAUUAAAGGGCUGCAGUAUAUUGACUGUACAAAGGUAGCAUAAUCAUUAGUCAUUUAAUUGAUGACUUGUAUGAAAGAUUGGAUGAAAUAUAAACUGUCUUUAAAAUAAAUUAUAAAAUUUAAUUUUUAAGUUAAAAAGCUUAAAUAAAUUAAAAAGACGAGAAGACCCUAUAGAGUUUGAUUUUUUUUUUAUAUUAAAAAUUUUAUAAAUUUAUUUAUUUAAUUUAAUGGAAAAAUUUUAUUGGGGUGAUAAAAAAAUUAAAUAAACUUUUUUUAUAAUAUAUAUAUAUAUAUAUAUAUAAACAUAGAUAAGUGGGUAAAUGAUCCAAUUUUAUUGAUUAUAAGAAAAAAUUACCUUAGGGAUAACAGCGUUAUUUUAUUUUUUAGUUCAAAUAGGAAAUAAAGUUUGCGACCUCGAUGUUGGAUUAAGAUAAAAUUUAAAUGCAGAAGUUUAAAAUUUUUGA
rnacentral:rRNA from 1 species